rnacentral:misc_RNA from 1 species
GUUGUGGAGGAUGGAUAUGAAUUCUUUGCCGAGAGACAACUUGUUACAAUAUUUUCGGCCCCCAACUACUGUGGUGAGUUUGAUAAUGCCGGUGCACUGAUGAGUGUUGAUGAAGAAUUGAUGUGCUCUUUCCAGAUUCUUAAGCCAGCUGACAAGAAGGGUAAUAAAGUCAUGGUGCCAGCAAGAACGUAAUGGCAGAACACGCAUUUUGUCCUGGCUUUUCUAAGGCCUCUUUACCUGUUCAGCUGAGGGAAUUGACUUCAAAUAAAGUUGCUCAGCUUAACUUUUCUGCAGACUUAAG